rfam:Arcobacter thereius strain 117434 AAX28_contig000005, whole genome shotgun sequence.
UGGGGUAUCGCCAAGCGGUAAGGCAACGGUUUUUGGUACCGUCACCCGAAGGUUCGAAUCCUUCUACCCCAU